rnacentral:rRNA from 1 species
AGGAUGAACGCUGGCGGUGUGCUUAAUACAUGCAAGUCGAGCGGUAAGGCCUCUUCGGAGGUACACGAGCGGCGGACGGCUGAGUAACGCGUAGGAAUCUACCCCGAACUGAGGAAUAAGCACCAGAAAUGGUGUCUAAUGCCGCAUAUGCUCUUAGGAGUAAAGCUUCGGCGGUUUGGGAAGAGCCUGCGUCCGAUUAGCUUGUUGGUAAGGUAACGGCUUACCAAGGCGACGAUCGGUAGCUGGUCUGAGAGGAUGACCAGCCAGACUGGGACUGAGAACGGCCCAGACUCCUACGGGAGGCAGCAGUAGGGAAUUUUCCACAAUGGGCGAGAGCCUGAUGGAGCAACACCGCGUGCAGGAUGAAGGCCUUCGGGUCGUAAACUGCUUUUAUCUGUGAUGAUUUUGACUAGUAGCAGAUGAAUAAGGAUCGGCUAACUCCGUGCCAGCAGCCGCGGUAA